GGAAAAGCAGCCUUUCUGGUAAAGCCGUGACAACAGCAUCAGCAGCUCCAACUGAGCUCUGAGAAGAACGUCAGCUGGCGAUAACACCAGCAAGACUUGCUUUCUUCAGGCUCCUCUCAGGGGAGACUCACAGUUGGAUGUUGCGCAAGGAGCAGCUGCGGUAGGAAUUGCUGGGUACAGCGAGCAGCCUGUCCAGAAGCAGACAUCUACUUGGUAGUCACAGAGCUGAGGGCAAGAGCAUCCUUGGGGAGGCAGAAGAAGAGUGUUUCCUUUUGUGGAGCAGCCAAACUCCUCAAGCACCAACUCUGAAACAACAGGCUGUGAGCUGCGGGAGCUGGAGCCUCGGCCUGGUGGGUGGCGAGAGCAAGCUGAUCCUGCUGCAUGGUGAGACCCCGAGUACAGAACAGGGGCUCUGGAGCAGAGUCCCCACCUCCUUCGGGUGCUUAUGCAAUUUCUACAAAUAGUCAUUGAAUAAAAUGCAGAAAUAUGCCCUGGA
rnacentral:lncRNA from 1 species